rnacentral:rRNA from 1 species
UCCGUAGGCGGGCAAUUAAGUCAGAGGUGAAAUCCCACAGCUCAACUGUGGAACUGCCUUUGAUACUGGUUGUCUUGAGUUACAGUGAAGUAGAUAGAAUAUGUAGUGUAGCGGUGAAAUGCAUAGAUAUUACAUAGAAUACCGAUUGCGAAGGCAGUCUACUAACUGUCGACUGACGCUAAGGGACGAAAGCGUGGGGAGCAAACAGGAUUAGAUACCCUGGUAGUCC